rnacentral:rRNA from 2 species
CUGGCUGUGUGCCUAAUACAUGCAUGUCGAGCGGAGUUCUUUUAGGACUUAGCGGCGAAUGGGUGAGUAACACGUACUUAACGUACCUUUUAGUUUGGAAUAACGGUGAGAAAUUAUCGCUAAUGCCGGAUACUUUUUUAUUUCACAUGAGAUUUAAAUAAAAGGAACUUCAAAGUUUCACUAAAAGAUCGGGGUGCGGAACAUUAGCUAGUUGGUAGGGUAAAGGCCUACCAAGGCGAUGAUGUUUAGCGGGGUUGAGAGACUGAUCCGCCACACUGGGCCUGAGAUACGGCCCAGACUCCUACGGGAGGCAGCAGUAGGGAAUUUUCCACAAUGGGCGAAAGCCUGAUGGAGCGACACAGCGUGCAGGAUGAAGGCCUUCGGGUUGUAAACUGCUGUUAUAAGGGAAGAAAAAAUAUUAUAAGAAAAGAUAAUAUCUUGACGGUACCUUAUCAGAAAGCA